CCUACGGGAGGCAGCAGUGGGGAAUAUUGCACAAUGGGCGCAAGCCUGAUGCAGCGACGCCGCGUGAGGGAUGACGGCCUUCGGGUUGUAAACCUCUUUCAGUAGGGAAGAAGCGAAAGUGACGGUACCUGCAGAAGAAGCGCCGGCUAACUACGUGCCAGCAGCCGCGGUAAUACGUAGGGCGCAAGCGUUAUCCGGAAUUAUUGGGCGUAAAGAGCUCGUAGGCGGUUUGUCGCGUCUGCCGUGAAAGUCCGGGGCUCAACUCCGGAUCUGCGGUGGGUACGGGCAGACUAGAGUGAUGUAGGGGAGACUGGAAUUCCUGGUGUAGCGGUGAAAUGCGCAGAUAUCAGGAGGAACACCGAUGGCGAAGGCAGGUCUCUGGGCAUUAACUGACGCUGAGGAGCGAAAGCAUGGGGAGCGAACAGGAUUAGAUACCCUGGUAGUCCAUGCCGUAAACGUUGGGCACUAGGUGUGGGGGACAUUCCACGUUUUCCGCGCCGUAGCUAACGCAUUAAGUGCCCCGCCUGGGGAGUACGGCCGCAAGGCUAAAACUCAAAGAGUAGUAGACGUGNGAGACGCGACGACGACGACGACGGAGGAGGAGG
rnacentral:rRNA from 1 species